rnacentral:misc_RNA from 1 species
UACUCUGGGGAGUGUCACCCUGGCG